GGGGGACCUGGGAUAUAGGUCGGCCAAGUCGGUGGUAGUAGCAGGGACCUCCUAAGGGUGAGUGGCCGGGGGCAGGGAGUCUGCAGCCUCUGAGGCAGGUGGGGAGAGAGAAGGGGCAGGCUGAGGGGCACUGCAGUCUUCCUUGACCUUCCUUAUAUUAUUCAGGAUCUUGUUCCACUGACGCUCAGUGUUCUUUUCCAAGGUGCCUGGAUUUUUGACAAGAGCUAAGCACGGAAGCUUAGGAGGAGGGGCAGCUCACCUCGAUCACAUGUCAGUGGCGGGGGUGACCUCAGCCCUGGCAGCGGCAGAAAAAGCGGCAGGGGAAUCUUCCGCUUGCAGGGCCUACUGCUGGUAGAUACCAGGGAAAGGGAGCUUCCUGAUGGGAUGUCUGAACAUUUUUCACGCUGCAGCUCCUUCCCAGACGUCAGUGAGCCUGAUGAGCUGGGCCGGUGGUCUUCACCCAGCACUUGGCCUCUCCAGCAGCAGGGAGCAGCAUGCAGUUGGGGCAGAGAACACCGUGGCAUGGGACUCAGGCUUCCAAGGAGGCAGGACAUCUCCAGCAUCUCCAUCUGAGCGGAUGACAUGGCUUUCUGAGGAGGAGCUCAUUGGAGACUUCUGGGCGUUCUCACUCAAGUUGUCUUCUGGGUGCUCGGGAAGGAGGUCCAGAGGCUCAGGAUUGCACUUGAGGGAAGUGAGGACUCCACUGGUCUCCUGUGGCCUAGAUGUCAAUGGUAUAUCCCCAUUGCUACGGUGGCCCCUCUUCCGAUCGUCCUCUUCUUCCGUCUCUGUGUGAUCCUCCUUCUAUGCCAUGCCUCUUCGGGGCUCUUCUUGGACCUUCACCUCACUCUCCUUUGGGCAAGGAAGUGGGAGGUGACUGGAUGGUCCUAACCUUGACUACCUGCUCAGGUGGUGAACGCAGGAGGGUAAAUUUGCGCCCUGGUGGAGGACUCUUGAUGGUUCUCGAGUGGCCGAACAUCACGGAAUUACGAGUAGACAGCACGGGCUUCUUUGGCGAGUCCCUCCAGUUCACCAAGGGAAGCAUCCCCCGCCGGGAGUACCUGGCCUGCUGCAUGGGAUACUGCAUUUUUGGCGCGAUGUAAAAGCCAGGCGAUAAAGGCACUCAGUCCCGGUGGGACAGCCUGCGACCAGGGCAGAAGGCAGGCGCUGGAGCAGCGGGGUGGUCCCCGUCAGAUGUGGCAGCCUCCCGGGAGGGAAAAACCAGCGGGUGACAGCCCACCGGGGCCCCACUGCGGGGCCGGCAGCAGCGGAGCCAGGAUGAAGAUGCAAAUGGUGUCCUGUGGAUGCUUGCUGACGGGCCCUCCCCUCCUCUCCAUCUCCACAGCCAUCAGACCGUGAGCUCCUGAAGAGCAAGGAUUCUUUCACGUCUCUCUACCCGCUGCUUUCAGUUAGCAGAACAUCAUGGACAUUCAGC